rnacentral:lncRNA from 10 species
GAGCCGGGGAAGCGACGCGAAGACCCCCGUCCGGCGCAACCCGCUCGCGUGGACGCGGAAAGUGGCGGGCGGCGGGUCCCGGUGGUGCCUGCGUAGGGCAGAGUUGCCCCCUGGCGGCGGUGCGACGACCUGCGGGCCCUCGCGCCCGGGCCGGCAACUCCCUGGGAGCUCGGCCCGCGCGGGGAACUCGCCCAGCAGCCUGUGUUUCUCGAGUGUGGGCAGCCGGCUCCCGGGCGUCCCUCCCACCGGCUGCGGGGGCCCGGGACUGGGCGGUAGUGGAGGCAGGUCCUUGGACUGCAGGCUGAGGCUUUUUCCCCCCACGAGCGGUUUGGGCCCUCCAGGAGCCCCUGCGCGGGGGUCACGUGGAUUACGCUAGGAUUUUACCCAUGAACGUGAACAUGAACGUGUUUUCAACCCCAGCGGUUCCCCUGGCGCCUCGACCCUCCUUUGAAGAGUCAUUCUAGAAGGCUGUAUUGCGAUAGUGUUUGUACCUGUCACUGUGAGCCCUGAAAAGAGACAGAAGAAAACGCGAGUGCCUGGCCUGAGGGUGCUCCGUCCCGUGGGUAGCCAGGGCACUCCACUUCAGCAUUCUCCUGUGGUGUAACAUUACCUGCCACUCAUGCUGGUUCCCAUGCGCCAAGCUAAUUUCAACAACGGGUGAAGUGGGUAUCUCCAUGUGAUGGCUGAGGAGACAGAUUCUGGGUGUUGCUACUAAGCCUCAUGGAGGCAGCCAUGACAGAGCAGAGCCUUCUGUCCUCCUGUUCCAGGUCAGCAGCCUCUCCCAAGGCAGGACUCCAUGGGCCAGCCUCUUUCCUCCCCCACCCUGCUUCUUCAGGCCAGCUCUUAUUUGGUCUGACAAUAAGUCUGAGCCCUAGUGUCUGCUUCCAGAAAGCCUUCCCUGAUGACCUCACCUCCACCUGCUCUGAAUUCCGACUGCACCUCGUUCCACAGCAGUCAGCACCCAGUGUGGAAAUAUAUUAAUGAAACCGCCUUUACAAAAUUAUGACUGAGACAGUGAAAGAAAUCUAACUUAACCAACUCCAUCUUGCUUCUAACCCCCAAGCUAUCCUUGUUCAUUCCUAGGUGUAGGCUUAACUAACUUUGGGAGAAGUUAGUAAGGGUAAUAGCCCUUUCCCAAAGCAGUCCUCCUUCUUACCUGGGACUGGAUUGCCUUUGUAGGACUAACAUUAGCCACAAGAUUAGAAAUUAUGGUUUAGGAGUCAUGCAGCCGAAGGCUACAAGAUUCUGACCCUCCCUAAACUGCUCCAAAGAUCAGCGCUUGAGAUAUUUGGCAGACCCUGCACUUGAUGGAUCAGCUGGCCCCACACAGAUCAAUAAACUGGCUCAUCUGAUCUUGUGGCCUCCACCUAGGAACUGACUGAGCAAAAGAAGACAGCUCCAAUUCCAUAUGAUUCAUCUCUGACCAAUCAGCACUCCUGGCUCACUGGCUUCCUCUCACCCACCAAGUUAUCCUUAAAAACUCUGCUUCCCAAAUGCUUGGGGAAACUGAUUUAAGUAAUAAUAAAACUCUGGUCUCCCCGCCGGCUGGCUCUGUGUGAAUUACUCUUUUUCUAUUGCAAUUCCCCUGUCUUAAGGAAUUGGCUCUGUCUAGGCAGCAGGCAAGGUAAACCUCUUGGGCAGUUACAUUAAUACUUGCUCACCUACCUAUCUCCUCUGCUAAAGUGUGAUCUAUUUGAAGGCAGGCUCCAUGUCAUCUUCACCUCAGCAUUCUCAAAACCUAACCCAGUGAUACAGGAG